rnacentral:rRNA from 1 species
CAUAGACCUCGGAUCAGGUAGGGAUACCCGCUGAACUUAGCAUAUCAAU